CCACAGCCGCCAGCAUGAAAGGAAGCAGAGUGCAGAAAUAUGAAGAUCUUAUACUGUUACAAAACACCCUGCAUUGUAUUUCCAAAUUCAUCCACUGCAUUCAGUUUUCUUUGACUGGAAAUAUUGAUCUCAUCAAGAGCAACCACAGAGCAAACUGUAGGCCUGGCAGAAGGCUUCCUCGUCACUGGGAUGUUCUGGAGAGGAAGGUGUUAUUUCAUAGAUCAUUUUGGUUGAAUUUGAAACUGCUACAAAAUAAAGUCCAUGAAGCAAA